rnacentral:rRNA from 1 species
UAGGAAGGGGGCAAGCGUGAGGCGGAAUUACUGGGCGUAAAGGGUGCGUAGGCGGGUGUUUAAGUCUGUUGGGAAAUCCCCGGGCUCAACCUGGGAAUGGCAAUGGAUACUGGACGGCUAGAGUGUGUCAGAGGAUGGUGGAAUUUCCGGUGUAGCGGUGAAAUGCGUAGAGAUCGGAAGGAACAUCAGUGGCGAAGGCGGCCAUCUGGGACAACACUGACGCUGAAGCACGAAAGCGUGGGGAGCAAACAGG